GGGGUAAUAAUAGCUAAUAUUUAUUAUGGUACUUAAUAUGUUCCAGGCACUAUGCUAAUUGCUUUACAAUUAUUAUCUCAAUUGACCAAUCACUUAAUCUCUCUGGUCCUCAAUUUCUUCAACCGUAAAAUGAGGAGACAAGACUAGAUGACUACUGAGGUCUUUCUAUCAUCAGCAUUGACCUAAUUCAAGACAGAUGAACCUAUGAUCUUUUCUGGGACUCCAUUACUUCUUUUUUAAAAUUAAGAGGCUAGACUAAAGACAGUUUUAGAAUUUUAGGUGGGGUCUGUGAACUCAGGGAAAAAGUUACAUCUUAUUUCCCUAAUUGCUAACUGAAAUUUAGCAUUUCCUUUAGCUAUUUAAAAUAUUAUUCUAAGAAGUCCAUCUUAUUCCAAAAAUGUUAUUCUGAGAAGAGGUUCACCAGAUUGUUCAAGGGAUCCAUGAUAUACAAAAAGUUGAAGAACCUCCAGAGUAGAGGAUUUAGAUAUCUACUUCCUUUUUAACUCUAAUAAAUGUGUGAUCCAACUCCUGGCUAGGAGAGAGGGGCUGCUGAUCAGGGACAACAAUUGAGGAGGUACCAUUGAGUUCCAGCAGGAGUCCAGUAGUUGGUGACCAUGGAACUCAAGUCCUAGUUUUAACUAUUAGCAAGGCAUUCUUUAUAGUACUAUAGCUGUCCUCCCUGCUAAUGAGUUUAGGAACUCAUUAUUUUGGCUAAAAGAAUUGAAGAUAUAUAUUUAUAGAGCUUUAGGGGUCUAGUUCUUAAUCACCAAACUAAUAUUUCCAGAUUUUCUCAGUAGGUUUCUUUCAGCUAUCAUACAACCUGCCUCCAAGAAGCCCUUUUACCUCCUAUUAAUGAAUGAUACUUUUAUUGAGUUAAUAAUAGGUAAUAUUUGCAUAAGGAUAUGGACUGGACAUGAGAUUUCUCCCAGAUGAAGAAAUCCCUCCAGCAAUGCAGGGAAUGUCCUCUGCAAGUUCAGCAAGCAAAUUGCACAAUUAAAAAGAUGUCAUCCAAGGAUGUGGCGUCUCUGCUAAUGGACUGAUUCAUUGCUGGCUGAGUCAACCAAAUCACUCAUCACCUAACUUGGUACUGCUGUUACCAGCUUUCAGUGCUGAAGAGAGAGAGCUUCCAUGGCUCUUCCAAGCCUCUUUUGAGAGCUCACAAGAUUGUCAUCUAGUCUGUUCCAUCUCAGGGAUUUAAGCAUGUUCAUGCUUAAAGCCUUAAACCAAAGGUUAAAGGUGGAAAGGAAGAACAAGAUAGAAAAACUGUCGUGCCAAAGGGAUCAACAAUUAGUGGACUAGGUUGCUCAUAUUGGUGAUCAAUUAAGAUGUGGGGUAGGCCAAGAAUACAAGGAAAUCAGGAAAUCAGAAACUCAUUAGAAGCAGAAAACUGGAACAAAGUGUCUGACUGAUUGUGUGUAUUUGUGUGUAUUUAUGGAAGACCUCAGAAUAUUAGACCAAAUGUUAUAAAAUUAAGGGAAUUAAAUAUCACUCUUCCUCACAGGAAGCCUCCCUAGUCUUAGAGCUGCAG
rnacentral:lncRNA from 1 species